GUGAUCAGGACAGAAUACAGACAAUUCACCAUGGAACUUGUGCUGGGCUGGGUUUUCCUUCUUGCUCUUUUAAAAGGUGUCCAGUGUGAGGUGCAGCUGGUGGAGUCUGGGGGAGACCUGGUGAAGCCUGGGGGAUCCCUGAGACUCUCCUGUGCAGCAUCUGGAUUCACCUUCAGCAACUACUACAUGUACUGGGUCUGCCAGGCUCCAGGGAAGGGGCUGCAGUGGGUCGCAAGUAUCAGAAGUGGUGGAGGUAACACAUACUAUGCAGACUCUGUGAAGGGUCGAUUCACCAUCUCCAGAGACAACGGCAAGAACACGUUGUAUCUGCAGAUGAAGAGCCUGAGAACCGAGGACAUGGCCCUGUAUUACUGUGCGAAGGACACAGUGAGGGGACAUCAGUGUGAGCCCAGACACAAAUCUCACUGUAAGACGGGAUCUGGACCACCAGGGGGUGAACACCACUCACCAAUCCUGUCUUUAAGCCCCAGGAGCAGAUGCAGAUGA